rnacentral:rRNA from 1 species
UACGUAGGUGGCAAGCGUUGUCCGGAUUUAUUGGGUUUAAAGGGUGCGUAGGUGGUCUAUUAAGUCAGUGCUGAAAUAUCCCGGCUUAACCGGGAGGGUGGCAUUGAUACUGAUGGACUUGAGUAGAGUCGAGAUAGGCGGAAUUGACGGUGUAGCGGUGAAAUGCUUAGAUAUCGUCAAGAACACCUAUAGCGAAGGCAGCUUACUAGGCUCUAACUGACACUGAGGCACGAAAGUGUGGGGAUCAAACAGG